rnacentral:rRNA from 1 species
GAUGAACGCUGGCGGCGUGCCUAAUACAUGCAAGUCGAGCGAACAGACGAGGAGCUUGCUCCUCUGACGUUAGCGGCGGACGGGUGAGUAACACGUGGAUAACCUACCUAUAAGACUGGGAUAACUUCGGGAAACCGGAGCUAAUACCGUAUAAUAUAUUGAACCGCAUGGUUCAAUAGUGAAAUACGGUUUUGCUGUCACUUAUAGAUGGAUCCGCGCCGCAUUAGCUAGUUGGUAAGGUAACGGCUUACCAAGGCAACGAUGCGUAGCCGACCUGAGAGGGUGAUCGGCCACACUGGAACUGAGACACGGUCCAUACGCCUACGGGAGGCAGCAGUAGGGAACCGUCCGCAAUGGGCGAAAGCCUGACGGAGCAACGCCGAGUGAGAGAUGAAGGUCUUCGGAUCGUAAAACUCUGUUAUUAGGGAAGAACAAAUGUGUAAGUAACUAUGCACGUCGUGACGGUACCUAAUCAGAAAGCCACGGCUAACUACGUG